rnacentral:rRNA from 1 species
UACAGAGGUCUCAAGCGUUGUUCGGAUUCAUUGGGCGUAAAGGGUGCGUAGGCGGCGGGGCAAGUCAGGUGUGAAAUCUCGGGGCUCAACUCCGAAACUGCACUUGAUACUGCCUUGCUAGAGUAUUGGAGAGGAGAUUGGAAUUUACGGUGUAGCAGUGAAAUGCGUAGAUAUCGUAAGGAAGACCAGUGGCGAAGGCGGAUCUCUGGACAGUUACUGACACUGAGGCACGAAGGCCAGGGGAGCAAACGGG